CCUCCCCAACCACUUCGCCCCACUUUCCCCCUCCCUUAAAGUUGCCUCCAGGCCCAGCAAACCCUAGCUCGCCUCUCCUCUUCCUCCCUCUGGCCGCCGCCACUAUCUCCUCUUCUCCCUACCUUCCCUUUUUCUCUCUGGGAACGAAGGAGAAACCCCACAGCACCUCUCCAUGUCGCCAUGGCGCCGACGCGGUAGGCCGCCCCUCGCCAAGCUGAAGCCACCAGAAGAUGCGCCGUGUCAUUCUCUCCAUCCUCAUGCAAGGAAUCGAGCCAAGACCCCGUUAAUCGAGCUCAAGAUCGCCGAUACCCAACUCCGACAGUCGGUGAGUUUCGUCAAUUCCGUCGCCCAUGGUUCCUCUCCGGCCUUCUCGUCACCUCCAUCGUGUUCCCUGCGCCCAGGUGCAUCCCCGACGCCAUCUGUCUCGUCCCGGUUCGCCCCCCUCCGACGAAGCCAUGGUCGACCAGGGACUCCGCCAUGGCCGUGUCUGCCCGAGCUUCGCCUCUGCUUGUUUCUUUUUUGUUCCGCGCCUUCCUCCUAUCAACAUAGCAAGCAGCAGCUUAGUGAUCCCGCGGAGAGAGACACUUCUUUUGACGAGGAGCCUUCCCAGUAUCGACAUCAGCAACCGUAGCCCAGAUGAUCUGGCGUCCCAUGGGCCGGUCCAAUCUCCCUCACGGCUCAGCCCACUUGCCCGCUAGCUUCUUCGCCACCUAGCGCGUGGCAGGCCUCUAUCCACCGCCGUCUCU